UAGUGUUAAGGGGAGGAGGACUGCUGACUGUGUUCUUGGAGACUCAGCACUGGAAUCCAAAAGAACCGCAUUUUUUGUCUUCCAGAGAAGAAAGCUGGCAUCAGUGUUUAAAGCAGUGGUCCUCAACCUUUGGUUCCUGGACGCCUGAGGCCCGUGAGCCAUAGAUUGUGGGUCAGUGAAGAAAAUGUAAAUAAAUCAAUAAAGAACUGUUGAAGGCCACUGAAAACAGCUAUCUGCAGCAAGGGUUAUUGGACCAGCCAAGGACGAG